rnacentral:rRNA from 1 species
GACGAACGCUGGCGGCGUGCUUAACACAUGCAAGUCGAACGAUGAGGCACCAGCUUGCUGGUGUGGAUUAGUGGCGAACGGGUGAGUAACACGUGAGUAACCUGCCCCUCACUCUGGGAUAAGCCUGGGAAACUGGGUCUAAUACUGGAUACGACCGAUCUCCGCAUGGAGUGUUGGUGGUAAGUUUUUGUGGUGGGGGAUGGACUCGCGGCCUAUCGGCUUGUUGGUGGGGUAGUGGCGUACCAAGGCGACGACGGGUAGCCGGCCUGAGAGGGCGACCGGCCACACUGGGACUGAGACACGGCCCAGACUCCUACGGGAGGCAGCAGUGGGGAAUAUUGCACAAUGGGCGAAAGCCUGAUGCAGCGACGCCGCGUGAGGGAUGACGGCCUUCGGGUUGUAAACCUCUUUCACCAGGGACGAAGCUAACGUGACGGUACCUGGAGAAGAAGCACCGGCUAACUACGUG